rnacentral:rRNA from 1 species
UCGAGAAUCUUCGGCAAUGGGCGCAAGCCUGACCGAGCGACGCCGCGUGGAGGACGAAGGCCUUCGGGUUGUAAACUCCUGUCGAGGGGGAGGAAGGUCGGGCAACCGGCUUGACCGAUCCCUGGAGGAAGCACGGGCUAAGUUCGUGCCAGCAGCCGCGGUAAGACGAACCGUGCGAACGUUAUUCGGAAUCACUGGGCUUAAAGCGCGUGUAGGCGGAUGGGGACGUCGGACGCUGAAAUCCCCCGGCUCAACCGGGGAACUGGCACCGAAACGCCCCGUCUCGAGGGACGUAGGGGGACCUGGAACUUCCGGUGGAGCGGUGAAAUGCGUUGAGAUCGGAAGGAACGCCCGUGGCGAAAGCGAGGUCCUGGACGUCUACUGACGCUGAGACGCGAAAGCUAGGGGAGCGAACG